rnacentral:tRNA from 1 species
GGAUUGUAGCUCAGUGGUAGAGCACUCAUCUAGCACAUGUGAAACCCUGGGUUCAAUCCUCAGCACCA